rnacentral:rRNA from 1 species
AUUGAACGCUGGCGGCAUGCCUUACACAUGCAAGUCGAACGGUAACAGGUCUUCGGAUGCUGACGAGUGGCGAACGGGUGAGUAAUACAUCGGAACGUGCCUAGUAGUGGGGGAUAACUACUCGAAAGAGUGGCUAAUACCGCAUGAGAUCUACGGAUGAAAGCAGGGGAUCGCAAGACCUUGUGCCACUAGAGCGGCCGAUGGCAGAUUAGGUAGUUGGUGGGAUAAAAGCUUACCAAGCCGACGAUCUGUAGCUGGUCUGAGAGGACGAUCAGCCACACUGGGACUGAGAAACGGCCCAGACUCCUACGGGAGGCAGCAGUGGGGAAUUUUGGACAAUGGGCGCAAGCCUGAUCCAGCAAUGCCGCGUGCAGGAUGAAGGCCUUCGGGUUGUAAACUGCUUUUGUACGGAACGAAAAGCCCCGGGUUAAUACCCUGGGGUCAUGACGGUACCGUAAGAGUAAGCACCGGCUAACUACGUGCCAGCAGCCGCGGUAA